CUGCUUUCACCAGAUCCAUUGGUGGUAUAGUGGUGAGCAUAGCUGCCUUCCAAGCAGUUGACCUGGGUUCGAUUCCCGGCCAAUGCAGCAAUGGCUUUUCUCGUUGGA